rnacentral:lncRNA from 1 species
GGGUGAUUCUAACAACCAAAAUCAUGUCAUCUCGACUGCUGCUCCCUUGAUUUAUCUUACCAAUAUAUUUUCUCACUUGAUUGCGGCAUAACACAAGAUAAGAGAGCAUUUUGUUGUGUUCAUAUUGACUUGGUUUUUUUUCUCUUUCUGAAUUAUAUAAAAAAACUGUAGCAAUCUAACUACUUAUUUUAAGAUCACGCUUAUCACUUAAUAAAUGGGUGAUGUGGUCAUU